rnacentral:rRNA from 1 species
UACGGAGGGGGCUAGCGUUGUUCGGAAUUAUUGGGCGUAAAGAGCUCGUAGGCGGUUUGUCGCGUCGGCCGUGAAAACUUGGGGCUUAACCCCAAGCCUGCGGUCGAUACGGGCAGACUUGAGUUCGGCAGGGGAGACUGGAAUUCCUGGUGUAGCGGUGAAAUGCGCAGAUAUCAGGAGGAACACCGGUGGCGAAGGCGGGUCUCUGGGCCGAUACUGACGCUGAGGAGCGAAAGCGUGGGGAGCGAACAGG